rnacentral:rRNA from 1 species
GUGCCAGCCGCCGCGGUAAGACGUAGGAGGCGAGCGUUGUCCGGAUUCAUUGGGCGUAAAGAGCGCGCAGGCGGCUUGGUAAGUCGGAUGUGAAAUCCCGAGGCUCAACCUCGGGUCUGCAUCCGAUACUGCCCGGCUAGAGGUAGGUAGGGGAGAUCGGAAUUCCUGGUGUAGCGGUGAAAUGCGCAGAUAUCAGGAGGAACACCGGUGGCGAAGGCGGAUCUCUGGGCCUUACCUGACGCUCAGGCGCGAAAGCUAGGGGAGCGAACUGGAUUAGAAACCCCCGUAGUCC